GAUGAACGCUGACAGAAUGCUUAACACAUGCAAGUCGGUGGCGGACGGGUGAGUAAUACGUGGGUAACCUGCCCUCCUUUUUGGGAUAAGCCUUGGAAACGGGGUCUAAUACCGAAUAAAGGGGGAUGGGCUCGCGGCCUAUCAGCUUGUUGGUGGGGUGAUGGCCUACCAAGGCGGUGACGGGUAGCCGGCCUGAGAGGGUGACCGGCCACAUUGGGACUGAGACACGGCCCAGACUCCUACGGGAGGCAGCAGUGGGGAAUUUUGGACAAUGGGCGCAAGCCUGAUCCAGCCAUGCCGCGUGUCUGAAGAAGGCCUUCGGGUUGUAAAGGACUUUUGUUAGGAAAACGGUACCUAAAGAAUAAGCACCGGCUAACUACGUGCCAGCAGCCGCGGUAAUAC
rnacentral:rRNA from 1 species